rnacentral:rRNA from 1 species
CCUGGUGGUUAUGGCGGAGCGGCUGCACCCGAUCCCAUUCCGAACUCGGCCGUGAAACGCUCCAGCGCCAAUGGUACUUCGUCUCAAGAGGAGGCAGAGUAGGUCGAUGCCAGGU